UGAGGAAUCUUGCGCAAUGGAGGAAACUCUGACGCAGCCACGCCGCGUGCAGGAAGACCCCCCUACGGGGCGUAAACUGCUUUUGUGUGGGAAGAAGGUCUGGUUUGGCCAGGCUUGACGGUACCACAGGAAUAAGCACCGGCUAACUCCGUGCCAGCAGCCGCGGUAAUACGGAGGGUGCAAGCGUUGUCCGGAAUUAUUGGGUGUAAAGGGUGUGUAGGCGGAGGGGUAAGUCAGAGGUGAAAGGCACCGGCUCAACCGGUGGACUGCCUUUGAUACUGCUUCUCUUGAGUCCUGGAGGGGUCGCUGGAAUUCGUGGUGUAGCGGUGAAAUGCGUAGAUAUCACGAGGAACACCGGAGGUGUAGACGGGCGACUGGACAGGCACUGACGCUGAGGCACGAAAGCGUGGGGAGCGAACAGGAUUAGAUACCCCCGUAGUCC
rnacentral:rRNA from 1 species